CAUGUUUAAAUUUUGCAGAGAUUAGCUGUGAGAACAGGAAGGAGUUCUUUCUCUCCCUUCUGUUUGUUUAGCUUUCUGCAAUUGUUUAUUUUUAGGACGAAAAACAUGCCCACGCAGACUUAUCAAGCAAGUUAAAGCAAGGCAGAGGGAGGAAUUUGUCUCGUUAGAAACAUGGAAGCCCCGUCGCAGCCAAAAGUGAGCCGGACUCUCCGUGCUGCAGAGCCACGAGAAACAGCAGUAGGAGCAGCCAUACUCUGUACCGCAGCAUGUGGGAAACAAAUAAGUGGACUGGCCAGAUAAUGAGGGAAGCAACAUCUGUCAGCAGUUUCCCGAGCGCUCUGUGUAACCCAGCACCACCACCUACUGUUUGGGAAGGAAGACUCAGUUCCCCUCGUCCUACACAUUAAAACUCCAGUACCAUGCAGGCAAAGAAAAGCAUUAAUUUAAACAUUUGAAGAUAAGGAGGACAAAGAAA